rnacentral:rRNA from 1 species
UACGGAGGAUCCAAGCGUUAUCCGGAAUCAUUGGGUUUAAAGGGUCCGUAGGCGGUUUAAUAAGUCAGUGGUGAAAGCCCAUCGCUCAACGGUGGAACGGCCAUUGAUACUGUUAAACUUGAAUUAUUAGGAAGUAACUAGAAUAUGUAGUGUAGCGGUGAAAUGCUUAGAGAUUACAUGGAAUACCAAUUGUGAAGGCAGGUUACUACUAAUGGAUUGACGCUGAUGGACGAAAGCGUGGGUAGCGAACAGG